CGUCGCCAUUAAAGGAGUGUUUCCGCCUCAUCCACAUCUCCACCUCUAUACACAAUAUAAGAUGGAGCUUGUUGCGGCAUACAUUUUCAAUCGCAGACUGUGCAGGGAAAGGAGAUAUCGGGACCCACUCAACCCACUACAUGUCAGUGAUGAACACCUGUUGCAGGUGUAUAGAUUUCCCCGUCAGGAAAUCAUCAGGCUCUGUGAUGAGUUUCGCCCCCACCUGGAAAGGAGAACCAGGAGGGCACAUGCACUCCCAACACACACCCAGGAGACACUGCGUAUCCUCUGGAGCCAUUCCUGAUGACCCCAGUUGCACGGCCGACAACACCUGGGGAGGAGCGCUACAACAAGUCAUCACAGGACAAGAUGCGUUGUCGAACGGACCUUUGGGAUCCUCAAGUCAAGGUGCAGGUGCCUACAUAAGUCAGGAGGAAGUUUGCAGUAUGACCCCAAGAAGACUAUGAAGAUUGCGACUUCUUGUAUGCUCCUGCACAACUACUGAGUGGAUCGCUGCAGAAGAAGUAACAGUUCAGCCUGUGAGAAACAACAGACUGAUUCCUGGUCAAGUUGUCAGGCAGGAAUUUAUUAGAAACUUCUUUUCCUGAGUAUAGAUUGCAUAUGGUGCACCGGUGGCCGAGUGGUCAGCGUGUGUACGUGGUGAUCCAGAGGACUCGACUCCCACCGCAAGACGCUGAGAGUUUUCAACCAUUGACAAGUGGCGGAGGGUUACCAACAUGCUGCCCAGCAGAUCUUCAGUCAACCCUAACUUCAGCGUCUUUGAUCAAGAGGGGCACCACCUCCACACCACUCAUUCUUAUCACCUAGUUUGAUACCCUACUUGUCCAUCUCACAUGGCCCAUGUAUCUCAGCAUUCUGCACUCUUGGCUCCAUGUCAUCCUCUCCAACUUGUUGGUUCGUAUAGCAUAACUGGCCUCACAUACAUAGAAGUGUUCAAUAUACCUAGGCUAUAAUAUUAUAUUUAAGGACUCUUAUACGAGGUAUCGCCCCAUACAGAGGUGUCGAAGUAAGUCUGUCUGAUGGUAGGCUGGCUGACUGCUGUCGGGACCCAAGCCAGCAUGCCCUGGGGGUUGUGUGCGGGAGGAGGAAAGAGGGAAAAGGACAAAUGGUGUGUGUGUCAUUAUCAGGGGUAACCACGGUGGAGCGCAAACACUCGGUAGUUGUAGUCAAGGCUUAAUUAAGUUGAUGAGUGGUGUUAGACUGAAUGAGCAGGUUUUUUACCACAUGUUAGUGGGAACACUUGAUAGGUUUUGUUUGUGUGUUGGUGCUACUUGUUUCUUGUGUUUACAUGUUAGUUUAUAAUUAGACUGAGUUCUAAGUGUUAUGAGCGACAAUUUAGUCUUGUAUGGCUGAAUCCUGUCCCUUGACCCUUAA